CGGCUCAGUAACACGUGGAUAACCUACCCUUGAGACGGGGAUAAACCCGGGAAACUGGGUAUAAUACCCGAUAGAUCUCGACUGCUGGAAUGCAUCGAGCUUGAAAGCUCCGGCGCUCAAGGAUGGGUCUGCGGCCUAUCAGGUAGUAGUGGGUGUAGCGUACCUACUAGCCUACGACGGGUACGGGUUGUGAGAGCAAGAGCCCGGAGAUGGAUUCUGAGACACGAAUCCAGGCCCUACGGGGUGCAGCAGGCGCGAAAACUUUACAAUGCUGGAAACAGCGAUAAGGGGACCUCGAGUGCCAGGUUACAAAUCUGGCUGUCGUGAUGCCUAAAAAGCAUUGCAUAGCAAGGGCCGGGCAAGACCGGUGCCAGCCGCCGCGGUAACACCGGCGGCUCGAGUGGUAACCGUUAUUAUUGGGUCUAAAGGGUCUGUAGCCGGCCGGAUAAGUCUCUUGGGAAAUCUGGCAGCUUAACUGUCAGGCUUUCAGGAGAUACUGUCUGGCUCGAGGCCGGGAGAGGUGAGAGGUACUUCAGGGGUAGGGGUGAAAUCUUGUAAUCUUUGAAGGACCACCAGUGGCGAAGGCGUCUCACCAGAACGGACCUGACGGCAAGGGACGAAAGCUAGGGGCACGAACCGGAUUAGAUACCCGGGUAGUCCUAGCCGUAAACGAUACUCGCUAGGUGUCGGCAACGGUGCGACCGUU
rnacentral:rRNA from 1 species